rnacentral:tRNA from 1 species
GCCUCUGUAGCUCAAUGGAAGAGCAUCUCCGUCCUAAGGAGCUGGUUGGGGGUUCGAGUCCCUCCAGGGGCACCA